rnacentral:rRNA from 1 species
AGUGAACGCUGGCGGCAGGCCUAAUACAUGCAAGUCGAACGGCAGCACAGCAGAGCUUGCUCUGUGGGUGGCGAGUGGCGGACGGGUGAGGAAUACGUGGGAAUCUGCCCAGUCGUGGGGGAUAACGUAGGGAAACUUACGCUAAUACCGCAUGCGCCCUUCGGGGAAAGCCGGGGACCUUCGGGCCUGGCGCGAUUGGAUGAGCCCACGUCGGAUUAGCUAGUUGGCGGGGUAAAGGCCCACCAAGGCGACGAUCCGUAGCUGGUCUGAGAGGAUGAUCAGCCACACUGGAACUGAGACACGGUCCAGACUCCUACGGGAGGCAGCAGUAGGGAAUAUUGGACAAAUGGGCGCAAGCCUGAUCCAGCCAUGCCGCGUGAGUGAAGAAGGCCCUCGGGUUGUAAAGCUCUUUGUCCGGAAAGAAAAGCGCCGGGUUAAUACCCUGGUGUCCUGACGGUACCGGAAGAGUAAGCACCGGCUAACUUCGUGCCAGCAGCCGCGGUAAU